rnacentral:tRNA from 1 species
GGUGCGGUGGCGAAGUGGCUAACGCCGUGGUCUGCAAAACCAUUAUGCGCCGGUUCAAAUCCGGCCCGCACCUCCA